UACGUAGGCAGCAAGCGUUGUUCGGAAUUACUGGGCGUAAAGAGUGUGUAGGCGGUGUUCCAAGUCUGGUGUGAAAUCUCCCGGCUUAACUGGGAGGGUGCAUUAGAAACUGGAAUGCUAGAGGAUGGGAGAGGUAAGCGGAAUUCCUGGUGUAGCGGUGAAAUGCGUUGAUAUCAGGAGGAACACCGGUGGCGUAGGCAGCUUACUGGACCAUUUCUGACGCUGAGGCGCGGAAGCGUGGGUAGCAAACAGG
rnacentral:rRNA from 1 species